CAAAGAAGAUAAGUUUUAACUCAUUUAAAUAAAUAUAAGCUACAUAGCACUUUGAAUAGAGGGAAGGGCUGCGUCCCCCAAACAGUCAUCCAGCAUAGACAUACUGCAGCCCCAAAGCCAUCGCCAGUCACCCCUUGGGCUUUAUUUGCUGAAAAGCAUUGGCAUUUGCUGAGAUGGUUGUGCACCCAUCUGUACCCAGAGAAGCUUGUCAGCCACUCUGAGCCUUUCUGAAGCAACUCGGCCCCAAAGGGAAGACUCCUCCUGUGUUUGGUCGUGGGUCUUCUGAGGAGGCUGAGGAAUAAUGUGGGAGAAAGGAAAGAAGAAGCAACCUCCGAUUCAGGGUUUCUGUUCAUAACAACAUUCUCCCCAGAAGAAGGAGGGGGAAUUGGAUAGCUUUGGGAACCAGUAAUGGGAUAGGGAAUUUUUAAAACCUGUAUAGACCACCUGUUUGAAACUGUCUCACAGGACACGGGGACCAAAAGCCACUGUCGCCUGACAGCUGCUUGGUGGGAGACACGAAAUGAACAGGGUCUCAUUUUAGUGCCCGGAGGGACCGGUGUGCCACGGUCAGAGCACACUCUCAGCUGGCACCUCUGUGGACAGAGUCCAGGGUGGCCAUCCUUCACGCUAUUUAAUUCGUUUGCUUGUCACAGGAGUGGUUACGGAGCAAAGCUCACAGUAGGGUGCUGAGGGGUCGAUGACAGCAGCUUCUGCAGUCUCAGCACAGGGUGCAUCUGGAUCAGAGCCUGGGCACAUCUAAAUUAUGCCUGUUUUGGAAACUGGCUGCACUUUCUCCUCCUCCCUGUCUGUGGAGCGAGGCCCAGUUCUGGCGUGGGAUGUAGGCAGAUUCUUCUGCAGGGGGCACCUGCUCCAUCUACAGCUAAAGGGUGGACCUACCUGAAAGUUUUGUCACUGUGACUCAGACCACUAAGAUGCUGCUCUUCGAUGUGCCAACACGAAGGGGUAAAUGGUGUGGGUGUCAGUCAGUCAGGCUGUAAAUGGUGUGGGUGUCAGUCAGUCAGGCUGUAAAUGGUGUGUGUGUCAGUCAGUCAGGCUGUAAAUGGUGUGGGUGUCAGUCAGGCUGUAAAUGGUGUGGGUGUCAGUCAGUCAGGCUGUAAAUGGUGUGGGUGUCAGUCAGGCUGUAAAUGGUGUGGGUGUCAGUCAGUCAGGCUGUAAAGGGUGUGGGUGUCAGUCAGUCAGGCUGUAAAUGGUGGGGGUGUCAGUCAGUCAGGCUGUAAAGGGUGUGGGUGUCAGUCAGUCAGGCUGUAAAUGGUGUGGGUGUCAGUCAGGCUGUAAAUGGUGUGGGUGUCAGUCAGUCAGGCUGUAAAUGGUGUGGGUGUCAGUCAGCCUGUAAAUGGUGUGGGUGUCAGUCAGUCAGGCUGUAAAGGGUGUGGGUGUCAGUCAGUCAGGCUGUAAAUGGUGUGGGUGUCAGUCAGUCAGGCUGUAAAGGGUGUGGGUGUCAGUCAGGCUGUAAAUGGUGUGGGUGUCAGUCAGCCUGUAAAUGGUGUGGGUGUCAGUCAGUCAGGCUGUAAACGGUGUGGGUGUCAGUCAGUCAGGCUGUAAAUGGUGUGGGUGUCAGUCAGUCAGGCUGUAAACGGUGUGGGUGUCAGUCAGUCAGGCUGUAAAUGGUGUGGGUGUCAGUCAGGCUAUAAAUGGUGUGGGUGUCAGUCAGUCAGGCUGUAAACGGUGUGGGUGUCAGUCAGGCUGUAAAUGGUGUGGGUGUCAGUCAGGCUGUAAAUGGUGUGGGUGUCAGUCAGUCAGGCUGUAAAUGGUGUGGGUGUCAGUCAGGCUAUAAAUGGUGUGGGUGUCAGUCAGGCUGUAAAUGGUGUGGGUGUCAGUCAGUCAGGCUGUAAAUGGUGUGGGUGUCAGUCAGUCAGGCUGUAAAUGGUGUGGGUGUCAGUCAGGCUAUAAAUGGUGUGGGUGUCAGUCAGUCAGGCUGUAAAUGGUGUGGGUGUCAGUCAGUCAGGCUGUAAAUGGUGUGGGUGUCAGUCAGGCUGUAAAUGGUGUGGGUGUCAGUCAGGCUAUAAAUGGUGUGGGUGUCAGUCAGUCAGGCUGUAAACGGUGUGGGUGUCAGUCAGUCAGGCUGUAAAUGGUGUGGGUGUCAGUCAGGCUGUAAACGGUGUGGGUGUCAGUCAGGCUGUAAAUGGUGUGGGUGUCAGUCAGGCUAUAAAUGGUGUGGGUGUCAGUCAGUCAGGCUGUAAAUGGUGUGGGUGUCAGUCAGUCAGGCUGUAAAGGGUGUGGGUGUCAGUCAGGCUGUAAAUGGUGUGGGUGUCAGUCAGCCUGUAAAUGGUGUGGGUGUCAGUCAGUCAGGCUGUAAACGGUGUGGGUGUCAGUCAGUCAGGCUGUAAAUGGUGUGGGUGUCAGUCAGUCAGGCUGUAAACGGUGUGGGUGUCAGUCAGUCAGGCUGUAAAUGGUGUGGGUGUCAGUCAGGCUGUAAAUGGUGUGGGUGUCAGUCAGUCAGGCUGUAAAUGGUGUGGGUGUCAGUCAGUCAGGCUGUAAAUGGUGUGGGUGUCAGUCAGUCAGGCUGUAAAUGGUGUGGGUGUCAGUCAGUCAGGCUGUAAAUGGUGUGGGCGUCAGUCAGUCAGGCUGUAAAUGGUGUAUCAGUCAGGUUGUACAUGGUGUGGGUAUCAGGCUGUAGGAAAACUGUUAGGAAAGCGAUGACUCCAUUGCAAUGCUGUGUACAUAGUUUUCAUGUUGGCAGAUGUUUGAAUAAAAAUGGUCUAUUCUAGGAAA